rnacentral:misc_RNA from 1 species
AUGAAGAACGUAGCGAAAUGCGAUAAGUAAUGUGAAUUGCAGAAUUCAGUGAAUCAUCGAAUCUUUGAACGCACAUUGCGCCCGCCAGUAUUCUGGCGGGCAUGCCUGUUCGAGCGUCAUUUCAACCCUCAAGCCCCCGGGCUUGGUGUUGGGGAUCGGCGUGCCCUCGCGGCGCGCCGUCCCCUAAAUCUAGUGGCGGUCUCGCUGUAGCUUCCUCUGCGUAGUAGCAACACUCGCACUGGAUCGCAGCGCGGCCACGCCGUUAAACCCCCCACUUCUGAAAGUUUGACCUCGGAUCAGGUAGGAAUACCCGCUGAACUUAAGCAUAUCAAUAAGCGGAGGA